UGGGGAAUAUUGCACAAUGGGCGCAAGCCUGAUGCAGCCAUGCCGCGUGUAUGAAGAAGGCCUUCGGGUUGUAAAGUACUUUCAGCGGGGAGGAAGGGAGUAAAGUUAAUACCUUUGCUCAUUGACGUUACCCGCAGAAGAAGCACCGGCUAACUCCGUGCCAGCAGCCGCGGUAAUACGGAGGGUGCAAGCGUUAAUCGGAAUUACUGGGCGUAAAGCGCACGCAGGCGGUUUGUUAAGUCAGAUGUGAAAUCCUCGGGCUCAACCUGGGAACUGCAUCUGAUACUGGCAAGCUUGAGUCUCGUAGAGGGGGGUAGAAUUCCAGGUGUAGCGGUGAAAUGCGUAGGGAUCUGGAGGAAUACCGGUGGCGAAGGCGGCCCCCUGGACAAAGACUGACGCUCAGGUGCGAAAGCGUGGGGAGCAAACAGG
rnacentral:rRNA from 1 species